UAACCACAAUAGCAACCACAAUAGCAACCACAAUAGCAAGAACAAUAGCAAUUACGAUACCACCGACAGUAGCAACGUAACCAACUAUGGAAGCAGUAGCGUAAGCAGCGACAGUAGCACUAAUAGAAACAGUAGCAACAGUAUCAGAAACAGGUAUCACAACAUGAACAGGUUAAACUAUAAAAAACGCAGUAACAAAAAGAACAAAAUAAAAAAAUAUUAUAAUAAAAAAAGUAGUAUUAUUAAGGAUGAAAAUAAAAGGAGCGAAAAUAAACAUUUGGUUUUUUUUUAUCCGAAAAGCAAAAUAUUUAUGCCUAAACAUUGUACUUGGUCAUACAAAACAAUCGAAAAAGUAUUACUGUGUAAUAUAAUAAUUCAAGAUAAGUUUAAAAUAAAAAUUUUAUCAAAAGAUAAUAUAUCAAAUAUAAUAUAUAUAAAAGAAAACGAUUUUUUACAAUUAAAUAAUAUAUGUAUAUUAGGUUUUUUUAAUAAAAUAAAAAGUUUUAUAUAUGGUUAUAAUAUACCAUGUCAUCCAUAUUGUAUUUUUAAUGAAAAAAUGAAAUGUUUAAAUUAUGUAAGGGCUAAGAAUUGUAUUUAUUUGUUAUUUAAUAUAUGUGUUAAUAAAAACAUUUUAACAUUAGCAAAACUGUUUUUAUAUUUAGCUUAUUUAUAUUUGGAACAUGGUUACAUAAAUAAAUGUUUAAAAAUAUGUUACUAUAUUUAUAAUAAAAUACCUUUUAUUGGUACUUUAAAAAGAGAUAUACUUUUAUUAAUAUUACAAUGUAAAAUAAAAGAAAAAAAAAUAAAGGAUGCAUUAAUAUUACAUAAACUUAUUUUAAUUUUUAACCAACACUAUGAUGGGAAUUAUAGCAUAAACAGUUUGUUUAGUAAUUUAAUAUUAGCAAAUUAUUAUUACGAUGAAGCAAAUGCAACCAAAUUAGAAAUGUUAAUUAUACCGGAUGAUCAACACAAAAAAGAUGAAAAAAGUGAAAAGGGUAAAAGUAAAAUAAGUGAAAAGGGUAAAAGUAAAAAAGGUGGAAAAGGUAAAAGUAAAAAAGGUGGAAAAGGUAAAAAGGUUAUAAUUGGUGGUGAAUAUACCAAGAAAAAUGAUGUUAAUACAAUAGUGAGUGAUAAAAGGGGUAGUAGAGUUUUAAACGGGAGUAAUAACAACAAACAUGGGAUUAUUGGGGCUAGUGGUGUGAGUGGUUUAAGUGGUGUGAGUGGUUUUAGUGGUGUGAGUGAUUUAAGUAGAGCAAGAGGUUUAAAUGGAGCAAGAG
ensembl:lncRNA